rnacentral:rRNA from 1 species
GACGAACGCUGGCGGCGUGCUUAACACAUGCAAGUCGAACGGAAAGGCCCUGCUUUUGUGGGGUGCUCGAGUGGCGAACGGGUGAGUAACACGUGAGUAACCUGCCCUUGACUUUGGGAUAACUUCAGGAAACUGGGGCUAAUACCGGAUAGGAGCUCCUGCUGCAUGGUGGGGGUUGGAAAGUUUCGGCGGUUGGGGAUGGACUCGCGGCUUAUCAGCUUGUUGGUGGGGUAGUGGCUUACCAAGGCUUUGACGGGUAGCCGGCCUGAGAGGGUGACCGGCCACAUUGGGACUGAGAUACGGACCAGAAUCCUACGGGAGGCAGCAGUGGGGAAUAUUGCACAAUGGGCGGAAGCCUGAUGCAGCAACGCCGCGUGCGGGAUGACGGCCUUCGGGUUGUAAACCGCUUUCGCAUGUGACGAAGCGUGAGUGACGGUAAUGGGUAAAGAAGCACCGGCUAACUACGUG